UGAAGAUAUUUUAGAACGACUUUCUUAGUACAUAGUUUUGCAUUCAGUUCGAAAUAUGCUGUCUUUGGAAACUCUUUGAUAUAGGAAUUCUGUGGCCCUCCGAAUUUCUUUGGCAAAGGAUACCUUCAAAAUUUUGACAAAAUGCAACGAUUACAACAGGUGAAGAUGUUGAACAACCUCUAUGGAGCAGUUUGCGACAACCAGUACCUUCUGACCGCCAUGCCUGGGAUGGCAAGGCGAAUUCCCGCCAGACGUAAUCUAAGCGAUGACAAACCUGAAUGGGAGAACACGUCGGAUAAUUUAACUACUUACGAACAAGAGAAUAAGGUGUCAGAUAUCCUGGACACCUGGCGUGACCCUCUCACAACGAAGGUACAGCUGGGGAAUCCACCCGAUGAGCAGGAUGACGAGAAUUUCAAGGGCCACAAUCUCUCCUUGCUGUGAAGAGUUGAAAAAGAUGAGCUAGUCUAAAUUUUUCGUUUAAAAAACACAUAUUUUAUGAACUUGAGUUUGGCCGACUUUUGAACAAGCUUGGUUCAUCUGCAGUUCUUGUGUGAUUGUAGAUUUAUAAGUGUAAGACAACGAUGGGUGUACUUGAUCAACUGGACCCAACUUGCCGAUUUAGAACUGAAAAGACUUUGGUAUUUUAAGUCUUUUGUCUUGCAAUGUAUUGAUCUGCAAUGGUGCAAUAAGACAGGAGUAUACUUAGGUUAACUUUCUUUAAAAAUUAUUUGAUUUUUUGUCGUUCUUUGACACGCAAAUGUAGAUCGACAACUCUUUAAUAGAGACAGGAGAUAAGAUAUUUCCAAUCCCACUAAAAGGGAUUUCAUCCAACUUUUCCAAAAUUUCUAAUGCAAGAAUGAGUAGGUAAACAUAUUUUUUAUCAAAGCACUGGCGUCAUCUGUCGAGCCUUUUCCCGACUAUGUUGGGGUCGGCUUCCAGUCUAAUCUUAUGCAGCUCAGUUCCCAGUGCGUUGCAUGGAGCGACUGCCUAUCGGACCUCAACCCUGUUACCGAUACCUUCCCCUUGGU